GCAUAAUAAUAUAUCUCUUAUACAAAUUACAACUGGUAUGAUUAGCAAUGUGGUUAUGAAAGAGAAAUGUUACUGGCGAUUUGCUCAUAUAUAUGCACACAUUUUAUACAAGUGUACACACAGACACUCUUAGUAAUGUACACUUAUGUAUGAUGAGAUGUAAAGAUGUAUAAAUCUGAAUAAAACGAACGUGGUGACAAAUGAAAACAAAAACAAAAUGCCAAGAGAGCUACGUUAAAAAUGAGUAAAUCGAAAGUCUCGGCUACGAGAUUACAGUAUUACGAGAUUUUGGUAUGGGCUGUGUUAAAAUACGUAAACCAGAAAUCAACAACAGAACCGAGCUGAUGGUAUGGACUUACUUUUUAACUAUUUCACUUUACCUACCAUUUACCUACUCAACUUGUCUCUUUUUUCUCGCUCAUUUCUCAUUUCUCUGUAAGACUUAAACUUCUUAUAUAUUUUAACAACAUGUCUCAUCCAUUUUAAACAAAUUGAUGAGUUUUAUGGGACGUCAUACCAUAAAUUCACCAUAUAUUAUAUACAAGUGCUACUUCCAUAUCUUCGCAAAUUUACGCCGGUAAACUCCCAGCAAAAUAUGAAGAAUCAACAUUCGAAAUCUUUUUUGGAAAUCUCCAAAUUAAAGGACGAAUCCAACAUUACAACAUUUUGCUAUACCCAACGCCUUUCUACAACCUACCUUAUUAGAACAAAGAAACUCUCAAAAUAUCUUAUUUAUUAACCAUAUUUUAAAGUCAAUCACAUACUACGCUUGUCAUGUCGCUCACCUUUUACUACUCUUGUAGCAACGUCACUCUACCGCGUCGGCUGAUACUACUAAAAUCAAUCAAACGCAACGACGAGUGGAGGAGUUCAAGCAAUGAUUUCGUUACAACUUACUAAGAGGUCGAUGACACAUUUUCCCGAACACUUUGAUUAUUAUAUUUUUUUCUGUUUGAAAAGGAUAAUUUUCCUCAAAUUCCAUAGAAUCCUGAAACAACCUAUGUAAGAUUUACUCAACACUAGAAGAAAUACAUCACGAAGACAGUCCUUCAUCUUGAGAGUUUCUUUUAAUGUUACACCCAACCCACAAAGAGAACCUAGUGUUUUGCAAUAAUACAACCCAAUCAUUGCAUAAUUAGGUAGAUCUUGUUCAUGACUUCGCCUCGUCACUUCUGCCAAACCCCAGUAACUUAUGCAAAGACGUGUGCGGCCUGGAAUACUCGUGAUGAAAGACAACUCCCUUACGAUUAGCGAUUCUGAAGGAUCACCACAUAUAAUUUGUCCAGCUGGUUACAGUAUACAUCCGAAAUGAUGGUCCUGUCUGUGAAAAGAAGUUUGUAAAUGAAAACACCCUUCCAAUCCCACCAAAUUAAAAGAAUAAUCUUUUAUGGGUGUUGUCAGACUUUAGAUUUUGUGAUUAUUCGCCGGGUUUCCCCCAUGAUUAUUUGCGCUUCAUUUUCUGUUCCUUGUCACUAUUCUUUUUGGAAGGGAUCGUUUUCUUCAGGCAUCUGCAUCCAAUCGCAGAUAGACACUGGUUGGGCCAUAUUCUCCUUAUUCAAUUGAUGUGGGAUGCAAAAGCAGAGCCUGCUAAUGGGAAAAGGACGACAUAGGUUGAUGAAGAGGAACAUAAGAAAACAAAAACCAAUAAAAACAAGCAAAAUUUGUAUUUGAAAUGACCAAUAUAUGACUGAGUGGAUGAUACAUUAGAAUGUUAAGUUUAAUUCUCGAAAGAAACUAUUUUAAAUCUUAGAUUCACAUUGUAAAUGGAUGAAUGGUUUACAGCAGGAUUUCCUCUUUUAUUUCAUGUGAAACGAUCUUCUUUCAAUUUAUUACAAUGUGUCAUGUUUUAUAGACAGUCAUUUUGUUGUACGAUGUAUAUAGUAUUGCCCAGCAACAUAAAGCCAAUAAAGAAUCUCUUAAAGUAUGUUUACAAAUCUUCAUUAUCUUAAAUAUACAACAACUGUGUCUUGCUUCAUGUAUGUUAGUAAAUAUAUAAUUCACUGAAGGUGGUGUAUCUUUUUAU